rnacentral:ncRNA from 2 species
GGACGGGACUCUGGAGAGACUCUUUAAAUAGAGCACCGAAGGGGAAAGCGUUCGUUUUGAAAAGAACGUCAAACUCUCAGGUAAAAGGACAGAGAAAAGGGC